CAGUCGUUUCCAACUCCUUGCCACGUUUCAUGAUCCAGCCUUCCAAGCUUUCAUCACAUGCAUAUAAAUACCGCACCGAACGAACAGACCAAACAAUUGUCGAUGCGAAUUGCGGUGGACGGCCUCGAGAGCCUCCUUCUAGAUCAAUUGAAGGCUCUCUUCAAUUCUCGGAAAGCAAACGAUUCUGCAAGCUGAAGUGAAAAGGAACUUUUGGAGAGCAUAGCGCAAGUAAUGGAUGGAAUCGUGAAUUCAUCACCAAAUGAGUUCUGAUCAUUUACACGAAGUUAUUGCCUCUAUAUUCAAUGAGGUAUUUGACGCCAAAUUGCUGUUCAGAUUCUACAUGGUCUCCAAGCAUUUUGCUGCCCUUGUACUAUGUCAAGAACGUUCCUGCCACAGUGCCCCACGAUAUCCCCUACUUGGAAAAGAAGAGGAGAAUUCAGUUCCUGGCUGCACUUGAAGAUCUUAUUUCUCUGGAUUCUUUUUGACGAGAAUUGGGAUCUGUCAUGGUUACCCCUGCUCAAAUGGAAGAGAGUCAGGUUGAAUGCCAACAUCUCCACGGGGAGGAUCCUAAAAUACCAUGGUUGACCCUGCUAAACUGGAAGAUAGCCAGGUUCAAUACUAAGAUUGAAAGUUUCGUAUUUUUCAUCCCUUCUAGAAAUGAAUUCGUACAAUUAAUUUCUAGCAUAUUGGUGAAGCCGCACGAUUGUCGUUCCUUUUACCAUUCCAUAACCCACCAACCUCUUCGACUAAAACUGAAGUUGCUUCUUUCAUCAGGUACCCAAAUAUUAACAAAUGCAAUGAUGACACAUAAGACCUGUACAACAAUUUUGUUUGCGAAUUAACUUUAGGAACAAGUGCCUCUGACUUUGUCAAUUCCCUCCACUCAAUCAAUUGUUUACCCGACACAGAUCUUUCCUUGUUUCUUAGAAUCUGUAAUUGUGCUUUUGGUGGAUGGAAGUGGGAGAGGCUUUGUAGGCAACCCCGCCCGGAUAUCCCAACCGCCCGGUCUAUCCGAACGAGAGCGCCUACAUGAGAGAAGAGAAACAAAUACAAGACAAAAAUACCCUGGCAUGCAUACAUACGAAAAAUACAACAGCGAAAGCAAAAUAAUAUACAUGCACGCCUACAAGUACCCUGCUGGAACAGCAGUCAAGGAGUAUAUAAAAAUAUACAGACACCUGUGCCAACGAUAAAAGAUACAAGGAACAACCGGGCACAGUCAAAAAUGAGAGUCAGAACUCUUAACAAAACAUCAGAGAAAACGGGAGCAGCUAACUGUACACCCUACCGACACGGCUGGCUGCUAGGUGGCACGGUCCUCGCCCUCGACUUUAGCCUUACCCUUACCUGGAAUGAUGGAAAGCAAGGUGAGUCGCAAGACUCAGCAAGUUUAUAUAAUAAGGAAGGCUGUAAACGAAACAGAAGAGAAGAUCACCCCAAAUAUAAACCCACAUGUACACACAAGUCAUGUGACGCAACAACGCAACAGUGCCGCAUAAUAAAACAUAUACCGGUCCUUGGGGCCCACAUAGAACACCUGGCACCCAAGUCCCAUACCAACCUGUCGCUGCCCUGAAAGGCAACAUAAAUCACCACAAACCUGUGCGCACUGUCCCGGGUCGGUACUCCCGUCACCCGUAUCCCUGCCGGUACUCCCGACAGCCGAGCCAAAGGCUCCCUCGGAACGGUACUCCUGUCCGAGAACUAAUAACUACCAGUAACCAUGUAAUGCAUAUAAAAUGCAAGGCGUAAUGAGCACCAACGUGAUACAAGGCGCCCAUACAUCCAGGCAUCAAGCCAUGCUCCGCCCACGUAGUAAAUCACACGCGAUGCAUAUGCCCGUGCUGGAUGCAACCUGACCAAUCUAGAAUGUCCGUGAUCAAGCAUAACCAAAUCAUGAUGAUCCCAUCAUGCAGCCCGAACCCAUGUGCAUACCAAACCAUGCAACAAAAAUGAAAUAAUCAAGCAUGCUAUAAUCACAUAACGGUAGAGUAGGUUAGCAGUGCCUGACACCGAUCAGCGGUUAGUGACCAGGAGAGACCAUCUGACGGCCUAAAAUAGACCAUACAACAGUUUCACCGUCACCGAACGGCUAACCCUUGCCCCCACUGCCCAACCGCUCUAGCCAAUAAAUAACCGAAAAUCCAUAAUAAUACCCGACAGUUAAGAACCUAGUCCCGGGUGAGUACAACAUCAUUCCCAUAGGAUUGAGGGUGAUACAAACCCCCGUAGGCAACCAACGAUUAAUACCCUCGAAAUCAGGUUAAUAAAUUAAAUUUUUAAACACACCGUUUAAAUUCCAUAAUUUAUUAACAGCCAAAUCUAACGAAGUGAGGCCAAAUAAAUUGACAUCGAAAGAAUCGACAAUGAGGGUAUAUAGAACUUGCCUUUCCGGAGAUAAUCUUAGGCUCAAUUUGACAAAACACGGUCAACGUUAUACCAACUGCAAUAUUCCAUUUAUAGACAAAACUAAUAAAAUUGAGCCCCAAAUGAAAUUUCAACCACAGAGAAUAUUAAUUACUAGUUGAGGUACAUACCUGGAUAAUUAAAUCAGGGAUUAAACAGAGUUUAAUUAGAUUUUUGAAGCCCCAAAAUUCUCAGAUUUAUGUCGCGCACGCUGCUGAAUUUUCUGCCAAAAUUUGCUCACUGUUUGAGCAAAAGAAGUGCCCGAAAUCGGGCUUUAAAUCGCGGCCAAAAUCGGCCAAAAGAAGUGGCCAGCGCGCGGCCACGUGGCAGCGCUGGGGCGGCCACCGCCUUCACCCCGAAACGACGUCGUUUUGGGGUGCUUGGCUGAUUAAAAAUCAGCCCUCGUGCACAGCUGUCCCCCCCGCGUUUCGAUCCCUCGACCUCGCCUAUGCCUGCCUCGCGCGCGCCCGCUCGCGCCCGCAUGCUCAUUCAACCUAUAUAGGUUUUAACUUAUAUUUAAGGUGACUUUUUCCCUCUUCCACGAUUCACGCCAGCACCCCACAACUUCCAUUAAAUACACAAACGCCCCCUAAUUUAAUUACAGUUAUGCCCAAAACUUCUAAAAAUCACACAACUUAAUUUAUUUUAAUUUUUUUCUCUUUCCAGAAAUUCCCAAAUAACAAAAUUAAUUAUCUUAAUUUCUUAUUUCCAUAAAAUCAUAUAAUUAAAUUUUUAUUUAAUCCCAACAACUUAUUUUAAUAAUUCUUUUAAAUCCAAUUACCCCAAAAUUAAUUUAAUUACCAUAUACGGGCGUUACAAAUCCUCCCCCCCUAAAAAGAAUUUCGUCCUCGAAAUUCGUACCUGGCUAGGCAAACAACUGAGGAUGAAGUCGCCUCAUCUCCUCCUCUAGCUCCCAAGUAGCCUCCUCAGGGGUAUGUCGCUGCCACUGGACCUUUACAUAGGGAAUCGUACGGUUACGGAGCACUUUUUCUUUCCGAUCCACAAUGCUAGCAGGCAACUCGGUAUAUGACGCAUCCUCUUGCACCACGAGAGGAUGAUAAUCAAUAACAUGCCCGGGAUCUGCCACAUACUUACGAAGCAUAGAAACAUGAAAGACAUCAUGUACGUGGGCUAACUGAGGGGGUAAAGCUAAUCGAUAAGCCAACGGUCCGACUCGCUCAAAUAUCUCAAACGGUCCCACAUAGCGAGGACUCAACUUGCCAGAUACUCCAAAGCGUCGAACACCCCUCAUCGGCAUAACCCGAAGAAAAACAUGAUCACCCACCUCAAACUCCAAAUCCCGGCGUCGUCUGUCAGCAUAACUCUUCUGACGGUCCUGAGCUGCCUUCAUCCUAGCCUGAAUCAACUGGAUCUUCUCUGAUGUCUGCUCUAUCAACUCCGGUCCAAGCAAUGCUCGCUCCCCAAUCUCGGUCCAACAAAGUGGUGAUCUACAAGGUCGCCCGUACAAUGCCUCAAAUGGUGCCAUCCCAAUACUGGCCUGGAAGCUAUUAUUGUAGGCAAACUCCACUAGCGACAAAUGGUCAUCCCAGCUCCCAUAGAAAUUCAAUACACAGGCGCGGAGCAUAUCUUCCAAAGUCCGUAUGGUCCGCUCCGACUGCCCGUCAGUCUGAGGAUGGAAAGCUGUACUGAAAGUCAACUGGGUCCCCAUAGCACUCUACAACGCCUCCCAAAAUCGUGAGGUAAAUCGAGGAUCCCUGUCUGACACAAUGCUAGCUGGGACUCCGUGCAGUCUCACCACCUCAUCAAUGUAUAGCUUGGCCAGUCGAUGAAUAUGAUAGGUCUUCUUGACAGGUAAGAAGUGCGCUGAUUUAGUCAACCGAUCAAUAAUUACCCAUAUCGAGUCGUACCCCCGGCUGGAUCGUGGCAAUCCUGAGACAAAAUCCAUAGCUAUACGCUCUCAUUUCCAUUCCGGCACAGAUAAAGGUCGUAACAAUCCCGCAGGCCUCUGGUGCUCAGCUUUAACUUGCUGGCACACUAAACAUCGGGAUACAAACUCUGCUACGCUCCUCUUCAUGCCGCUCCACCAAUAUUGGCGUCGUAAGCCCUGAUACAUCUUCGUCGCCCCAGGGUGGAUAGUAUAGGGAGAACGAUGAGCUUCCUCUAGGAUCCUCUGCCUAAUAUCACUGUCACUCGGCACACAAAUCCGCCCACGAAACAAUAGCAAACCAUCAUCCCUCUGGUUGUACCCCAAUGGACCAAAUCUCUCCAUAUCAGCCAUAACCGCGUCAAGCUCCACAUCCUGUCGCUGUCGAUCGCGAAUCUGAUCCUCAAGAUCUGAAUGGAUACUCAUGGCAGCACAAUAGAGUGUAGGAUUAUCUGAUGCCACUGAGAUAGUAAGAUCACUCAUCUGCUCCAGUAAGAACCACUCCUGCACCAUCAUAGCUGCAACUGAUGCUCCACGACGACUCAGUGCAUCUGCUACAACAUUGGCUUUACCUGGGUGAUAGAGGAUCUCGCAAUCAUAGUCCUUAAGCAGCUCCAACCAACGGCGUUGUCUCAUAUUAAGUUCCUUCUGAGAAAAUAAAUACUUGAGACUCUUGUGAUCUGUAUAUAUUUGGACUUUCUCACCAUAAAGAUAAUGCCUCCAAAUCUUCAAGGCAAACACGACAGCCGCCAACUCCAGAUCAUGUGUAGGGUAAUUCUCCUCGUGCCUCUUCAACUGUUUGGAUGCAUAAGCAUUCACUCAGCCGUCCUGCAUCAAAACACAUCCCAACCCUGUAUACGAGGCAUCACUAUAUACAGUAAAUAACUCACCACACCUGGGUAUCGUCAGUACUGGUGCUGAAGUCAAACGCCGCUUCAACUCCUGGAAAGACCUCUCACAAGACUCGUCCCAAAUAAAUCUGACGCCUUUCCUCGUCAACUUCGUCAUGGGUGAUGCAAGCCGUGCAAAGCCUUCUAUGAAUCGUCGAUAAUAACCGGCAAGGCCAAGAAAACUCCGAAUCUCCGUCACUGUCAUCGGUCUCGGCCAAUCCAUCACGGCUUUAGUCUUUUCUGGGUCUACUGAGAUACCCUCAUCUGAGACCACAUGUCCCAAGAAUAUCACUCGGGUCUGCUAAAACUCACAUUUCGAAAACUUGGCAUAUAACUGCUCCUCUCUGAGCUUCUGCAAAACCAUGCUCAGAUGUACCUCGUGUAUCUCAGGGCUCGGUGAGUAAAUUAGGAUGUCAUCAAUGAAAACUAUGACAAAAGAGUCCAAAUAUUCCUUGAAUACUCUAUUCAUCAGAUCCAUAAAUACCGCAGGUGCAUUGGUCAGCCCAAAUGGCAUGACCACAAACUCAUAAUGGCCGUAACGUAUACGAAAUGCGGUCUUCGCAAUAUCCUCAUCUCUGACUCGCACCUGAUGAUAACCUGACCGCAAGUCUAUCUUGGAAAACACUGAUGCACCACGCAAUUGAUCCAGUAAGUCAUCCACACGGGGUAAGGGGUACUUAUUCUUAAUUGUUACCUGAUUAAGCUGCCGGUAGUCUAUACAUAGUCGCAUAGACCCAUCUUUCUUGCGCACAAAUAAUACUGGAGCCCCCCAUGGCGAUGUGCUCGGUCGAAUAAACCCCCUCUCCAAAAGAUCUUGCAACUGCACCUUAAGUUCUUUUAAUUCAUUAGCAGCCAUACGGUAAGGAGUCUUGGAAAUAGGCUGCGUACCUGACAACAGAUCGACUGCAAAAUCAAUCUCCCGGUGCCGUGGUAGUCCCAGCAACUCAUCUGGGAACACAUCUGGAAAGUCUCGCACCACAGGAUAGGCAGCCAACUCCUUCUUCUCCCCAGCUAUCACGGUCACGAACGCAAAGUAGGCUUCACACUCACGUCGAAUAAGUCUCUCGGCGUGCAUAACCGAUAUCAUCGGCGUAGUCACCACUGGCUUCACACCCCGGUAUGUAACAACUGGUCUCCCCGGAUGCUCAAAUGAAAUUACCUUCCGACGACAAUCAACCCGAGCAUAGUGCCGUGAGAGCCAAUCCAUACUCAACAGUAAAUCAAAAUCCUGAAUCGCCAAAACAAUAAGAUCUCCUAAAAAUACCUGGUCAUAAAUCCUUAUCUCGCAAUCCCUGACCAUCUCACUUCCCAACAAUACCAUCCCUCCCGGUGUCGAAACAGAUAAAUCAUAGGGUAAUGGGGUACACGAGAUCGGGAUCUUAUGCAACAAAUGGGGUGCUAUGAAAGAGUGGGUAGAACCUGUAUCAAAUAAAGCACGUACAUCGUGGCCAUGAAGAGAAAGUAUACAUUGUACCAUAUCACUGCCCUCAGCUGCCUCGGCGGUUGACACUGCAAACGCCUUCCCUGCUGUAAGUCAACAAACUCGAACACCUUCUGCUCUCUAACCCAAGCCGGUAUAUAAGUCUCAUUGAAUGCCGCGACAAACUGUGCCCAUGUCGGGCCUCCAUCACCAUAUCGCUGUCUGGUGGUCUCCCACCAUCGUUCGGCGUCUCCUCGCAACAAGAAGGUCCCCAGUCGAACUCUAUGGGCCUCUGCACAGCCUAUAGAUCGUAGAUGCUUCUCCACAGCCAAUAGCCAAUCCUCGGCCUCUGUCGUGUCGGCACCUCCACUAAACUCUGGUGGACGUAGGGCCAUAAAGUCUUUAAGUAAUGCGGCAUCAGAACUGUCCCCUGCUCCCGGUGUACCUGAAUGUGACGCCUGGGCCGUAGCGGUCCUACCAUCAUGACUGCGCUCCUGACGUAACUGAGAUGCCGCCAGUACGUCUACAGCCCGUAGAAGACCUGCCAAUGUCUCCUGCAUGCCCGGAGGCCCUGGCUGUCUCUCAUCUCCUGUAUCUGUCGCCUGUACCUCAGGAGUAGGAACAAGGUGCCCUCUACCUCGCAUCGGUGGUCUACCACGACCUUGUCCACGGCGUGCGUCCAUGAGUCCUACAUAACCAAAAUUAAUUAGAACGCACUUCGAAAUUAAGGACACGACCUGACACUCUAACUCUACCUAACAGCCUUGGUGUACAGUUACUUGUCCCCCAAAUUGACUCAAUGACGCUCUGAUACCAACAUUGUAGGCAACCCCGCCCGGAUAUCCCAACCGCCCGGUCUAUCCGAACGAGAGCGCCUACAUGAGAGAAGAGAAACAAACACAAGACAAAAAUACCCUGGCAUGCAUACAUACGAAAAAUACAACAGCGGAAGCAAAAUAAUAUACAUGCACGCCUACAAGUACCCUGCUGGAACAGCAGUCAAGGAGUAUAUAAAAAUAUACAGACACCUGUGCCAACGAUAAAAGAUACAAGGAACAACCGGGCAUAGUCAAAAAUGAGAGUCAGAACUCUUAACAAAACAUCAGAGAAAACGGGGGCAGCUAACUGUACACCCUACCGACACGGCUGGCUGCUAGGUGGCACGGUCCUCGCCCUCGACUUUAGCCUUACCCUUACCUAGAAUGAUGGAAAGCAAGGUGAGUCACAAGACUCAGCAAGUUUAUAUAAUAAGGAAGGCUGUAAACGAAACAGAAGAGAAGAUCACCCCAAAUAUAAACCCACAUGUACACACAAGUCAUGUGACGCAACAACGCAAUAGUGCCGCAUAAUAAAACAUAUACCGGUCUUUGGGGCCCACAUAGAACACCUGGCACCCAAGUCCCAUACCAACUUGUCGCUGCCCUGAAAGGCAACAUAAAUCACCACAAACCUGUGCGCACUGUCCCGGGUCGGUACUCCCGUCAUCCGUAUCCCUGCCGGUACUCCCGACAGCCGAGCCAAAGGCUCCCUCGGAACGGUACUCCCGUCCGAGAACUAAUAACUACCAGUAACCAUGUAAUGCAUAUAAAAUGCAAGGCGUAAUGAGCACCAACGUGAUACAAGGCGCCCAUACAUCCAGGCAUCAAGCCAUGCUCCGCCCACGUAGUAAAUCACACGCGAUACAUAUGCCCGUGCUGGAUGCAACCUGACCAAUCUAGAAUGUCCGUGAUCAAGCAUAACCAAAUCAUGAUGAUCUCAUCAUGCAGCCCGAACCCAUGUGCAUACCAAACCAUGCAACAAAAAUGAAAUAAUCAAGCAUGCUAUAAUCACAUAACGGUAGAGUAGGUUAGCAGUGCCUGACACCGGUCAGCGGUUAGUGACCAGGAGAGACCAUCUGACGGCCUAAAAUAGACCAUACAACAGUUUCACCGUCACCGAACGGCUAACCCUUGCCCCCACUGCCCAACCGCUCUAGCCAAUAAAUAACCGAAAAUCCAUAAUAAUACCCGACAGUUAAGAACCUAGCCCCGGGUGAGUACAACAUCAUUCCCAUAGGAUUGGGGGUGAUACAAACCCCCGUAGGCAACCAACGAUUAAUACCCUCGAAACCAGGUUAAUAAAUUAAAUUAUUAAACACACCGUUUAAAUUCCAUAAUUUAUUAACAGCCAAAUCUAACGAAGUGAGGCCAAAUAAAUUGACAUCGAAAGAAUCGACAAUGAGGGUAUAUAGAACUUGCCUUUCCGGAGAUAAUCUUAGGCUCAAUUUGACAAAACACGGUCAACGUUAUACCAACUGCAAUAUUCCAUUUAUAGACAAAACUAAUAAAAUUGAGCCCCAAAUGAAAUUUCAACCACAGAGAAUAUUAAUUACUAGUUGAGGUACAUACCUGGAUAAUUAAAUCAGGGAUUAAACAGAGUUUAAUUAAAUUUUUGAAGCCCCAAAAUUCUCAGAUUUAUGUCGCGCACGCUGCUGAAUUUUCUGCCAAAGUUUGCUCACUGUUUGAGCAAAAGAAGUGCCCGAAAUCGGGCUUUAAAUCGCGGCCAAAAUCGGCCAAAAGAAGUGGCCAGCGCGCGGCCACGUGGCAGCGCUGGGGCGGCCACCGCCUUCACCCCGAAACGACGUCGUUUUGGGGUGCUUGGCUGAUUAAAAAUCAGCCCUCGCGCACAGCUGCCCCCCCGCGUUUCGAUCCCUCGACCUCGCCUAUGCCUGCCUCGCGCGCGCCCGCUCGCGCCCGCAUGCUCAUUCAACCUAUAUAAGUUUUAACUUAUAUUUAAGGUGACUUUUUCCCUCUUCCACGAUUCACGCCAGCACCCCACAACUUCCAUUAAAUACACAAACGCCCUCUAAUUUAAUUACAGUUAUGCCCAAAACUUCUAAAAAUCACACAACUUAAUUUAUUUUAAUUUUUUUCUCUUUCCAGAAAUUCCCAAAUAACAAAAUUAAUUAUCUUAAUUUCUUAUUUCCAUAAAAUCAUAUAAUUAAAUUUUUAUUUAAUCCCAACAACUUAUUUUAAUAAUUCUUUUAAAUUCAAUUACCCCAAAAUUAAUUUAAUUACCAUAUACGGGGGUUACAGGCUUUGUAUACUUGUUAGUGUUCUUGAAAAGCAUAUGAAGCUUCAGAACUUUCCCAAUUACAAAUUCUAAGAAACCAGGGAAGAUCCG